rnacentral:rRNA from 1 species
AUGGACUCCGUGCGCAUUGGGCCCUAUAGACAGAUCUUCUGCCCCGACAACUUUGUCUUCGGCCAGUCCGGCGCCGGAAACAAGUGGGCCAAGGGCCACUACACCGAGAUGAGCUCCAUCCUCAACGUCGUCCACAAGGAGGCCGAGAACUGCGACUGCCUCCAAGGCUUCCAGGUGUGCCACUCCAUCGGCGGGGGCACCGGUUCGGGCAUGGGCACGCAACUGAGUUCCAGGAUCAGGGAGGAGUACCCGGACCAGAUGAUGCUCACCUUCUCUGUUUUCCCAUCUCGCAAGGCUCUGACACAGUGGUCGAGCCCUACAAUGCCACCCUCCCGGUUCACUAGCUGGUUGAGAACUCUGAUGAGUGCAUGGUGCUGGACAACGAGGCGCUCUAUGGAAUCUGCUUCCGCACCCUCAAGCUGA